rnacentral:rRNA from 1 species
GAUGAACGCCGGCGGCGUGCUUAACACAUGCAAGUCGAACGGGAAACUUUUCAUUGAAGCUUCGGCAGAUUUGGUCUGUUUCUAGUGGCGGACGGGUGAGUAACGCGUGGGUAACCUGCCUUAUACAGGGGGAUAACAACCAGAAAUGGUUGCUAAUACCGCAUAAGCGCACAGGACCGCAUGGUCCGGUGUGAAAAACUCCGGUGGUAUAAGAUGGACCCGCGUUGGAUUAGCUAGUUGGCAGGGUAACGGCCUACCAAGGCGACGAUCCAUAGCCGGCCUGAGAGGGUGAACGGCCACAUUGGGACUGAGACACGGCCCAGACUCCUACGGGAGGCAGCAGUGGGGAAUAUUGCACAAUGGGGGAAACCCUGAUGCAGCGACGCCGCGUGAAGGAAGAAGUAUCUCGGUAUGUAAACUUCUAUCAGCAGGGA